AUUGAACGCUGGCGGCAGGCUUAACACAUGCAAGUCGAGCGGGGGAAGGUAGCUUGCUACCGGACCUAGCGGCGGACGGGUGAGUAAUGCUUAGGAAUCUGCCUAUUAGUGGGGGACAACAUCUCGAAAGGGAUGCUAAUACCGCAUACGUCCUAUGGGAGAAAGCAGGGGAUCUUCGGACCUUGCGCUAAUAGAUGAGCCUAAGUCGGAUUAGCUAGUUGGUGGGGUAAAGGCCUACCAAGGCGACGAUCUGUAGCGGGUCUGAGAGGAUGAUCCGCCACACUGGGACUGAGACACGGCCCAGACUCCUACGGGAGGCAGCAGUGGGGAAUAUUGGACAAUGGGGGGAACCCUGAUCUAGCCAUGCCGCGUGUGUGAAGAAGGCCUUAUGGUUGUAAAGCACUUUAAGCGAGGAGGAGGCUACUUUAGUUUAUACCUAGAGAUAGUGGACGUUACUCGCAGAAUAAGCACCGGCUAACUCUGUGCCAGCCGCCGCAGUAA
rnacentral:rRNA from 1 species